rnacentral:rRNA from 1 species
AUACGGAGGGAGCAAGCGUUAUUCGGAAUCACUGGGCGUAAAGGACGCGUAGGCGGGUUUGUAAGUCAGGUGUGAAAUCCUACAGCUCAACUGUAGAACUGCACUUGAAACUACAGACCUAGAGUAUGGAAGGGGCAGAUGGAAUUAGUGGUGUAGGGGUAAAAUCCGUAGAUAUCACUAGGAAUACCGAAAGCGAAGGCGAUCUGCUGGGACAUUACUGACGCUGAGGCGUGAAAGCGUGCGGAGCAAACAGGAUUAGAAACCCGAGUAGUCC